CGAAUCAACCUGUGGUUGAGUUGGUUAGGUGGACAGUGGUAUCCCCAACCCACCAGGGUUCAAAUCCUGGUGCUCGCAUUAUUCUUGGAUUUAUUUCAGGAUUUCCGGCGAUGCGCUUUCAGUGGGAGGAGACGUUCCCGUCGACGACGAGGCGCCUACGGUGACUUCGUAAAUUUCAAGAUGAUAUGCCGGCUCAGUCUCUCGGAGGUGCUCAUAGGGGUAGGGUGUGCGUGCGUGCGUUCAUAGGGGUGAGUGUAUGCGCGUGUAUAUGAGCGCUUGUGUCUGUACUGAUGCUCAAAAAAAAAAGUUGAGUCAUCUAUUUUGGAACGGAGGGAGUACAAGUCAUACGACAUGCAUGAUUUAAUUCUGGCGUGAUAUCUUUCUUUUAAGAAAAAAAAAGUCCGAUGUGAUUCUUUUUUGCGGGGAAAAAGUCCGACGUGAUAGAACAAACAGUACUACUGCACGUACGUUUAGAGACAAAUUUGUCCAUGUAUAAAUACAUGUGUACAAAAACAAUACGAGGGCCCAUGCAAACAAAUAAGGGCUGCAUGUACGGCCAUUGAACCCCUGCAAAAAAAAGUACUUCCAUUGAAACGUGGAUGCAAACAAAAAAUAUAUAAGGGCGUCCUUCAGUAAUGGGAAACAAUAUUUAUUCAUCAACCAGAUAUUGCAUCCUUGGAACUUUUAUAUGCAUGUGGAAAGAAAGAAUGGGCACAUAGAAAGUUGAAGAGAUUUGAUCGGAUAAGAGGGCACUACAAUAAAAAUAAGGAAAUUAAUUUUUAAAUUCAUAUUCGACCGGAGAUUCAUUCAAUCUUCUUAGUUUCCAUGCCAGUCACGAUGGAUGAUGCUUUGAAGGGGGUGUGCCGAUGGUUCGUCGAUGCAGACCAUCUCAAAC
rnacentral:lncRNA from 1 species